AAUUCGAACUUAUCAGGCCAUCUAGUACUUGAACUUGGAAAACUUGAACAUCUACAGUAUUUGUGGAUGUUGCAUGUGGGAGGGUUGGAGCUGCAUAUUUCAGAUUCAAGCAUCUGGAUGAUGGAAUAUACGAAGCUGUUGAAAUUUCAGGGUGAAGUCGAGCACAUUUCUCUAAUGAAGUCAAAGAUUUGUAUUUUCAGUAUUAUUGUAAUUGUAACUGUAAUUGAUUGUAAUUAU